GAUGAACGCUAGCUACAGGCUUAACACAUGCAAGUCGAGGGGAAACGACAUCGAAAGCUUGCUUUUGAUGGGCGUCGACCGGCGCACGGGUGAGUAACGCGUAUCCAACCUGCCCACCACUUGGGGAUAACCUUGCGAAAGUAAGACUAAUACCCAAUGACGUCUCUAGAAGACAUCUGAAAGGGAUUAAAGAUUUAUCGGUGAUGGAUGGGGAUGCGUCUGAUUAGCUUGUUGGCGGGGUAACGGCCCGACCAAGGCGACGAUCAGUAGCCGGUCUGAGAGGAUGAACGGCCACAUUGGGACUGAGAUACGGCCCAGACUCCUACGGGAGGCAGCAGUGGGGAAUAUUGGGCAAUGGGGGAAACCCUGACCCAGCAACGCCGACGUGGAGGAAGAAGGGCCCCUAA
rnacentral:rRNA from 1 species